AUGGCCGAAUGCUUCAAUUGGGUGCUCAAAGGAGCACGUGGAUUACCCGUGACGGCAAUAGUUCAAUACACAUUUUACAAGAUGAAUGCGUACUUUCUAAAGUACUCGAUGUAAACGGAUGCACAGAUAGUGGGUGAGAACCCGCGCAAGUACAAGUACAAGUUCCCACCCAAGGUUGGUGAAUGGUUGGUAUUUCAAUCACGGAAGGCGGACUCAGAAGAAGCUAUAUUAUAUGACAAUGAAGAGUGGAAGUACGAAGUGAAAGAGCCAGGAGGAACCACAAACGAUGGCCGCCAACAUGGAAGUCGUGCUUUCGAGGUGUCAUUAACACAAUGUGAUUGCUCUUGCGGGAGGCCAUUGUUGCUUCAUCUUCCAUGCUCACACUUGUAUACCGCCAGUCACGUUAGGAAUGUGGACAUCAAUCACCCAUGCACCAUGAGGGAGUCGGAGUUCUCAAUCAUGACGGUCAAGAAAACAUGAGCUCCCCGCUUUCACCCAUAUCUUGACCAAUCACAAUGGCCGGAGUACCAUGGUGUUCAACUAUGGCCGGAUCCG
rnacentral:rRNA from 1 species